AACUCAAGACAAUCCUUGGUUCAUCAUCAAUCAUCUUGUUCACAUAAAAAUUUUUCCUUCUCCAAUCUCAACGUUUCUCUCUCUUGUUCAUCCGUUGUAUGUUGGUACAGGCUUCCAUUAAUCUAGCUCACCUGGUGUCAAUGUUCCCGAAGUUUGAAGCAUAACAUGAAUUUGUGAACUAUGUGUAGUCAAAGGCCAAACUUAAAGCCCAACACCUCCACACCACCUCCUCCUAGCCUACACCACACCACUACCUUAUCCUUCACUCCAUCUCAGAAAAUUUAGAGUUCCUGAUUGUAGGAGGUUCGGUAGAACCCGAAUGAAGUUCGCCUAAACCACAACUAAGUUCGACCGGUUCUUUUUCAGGUUCGUCCGAACAUUUGAACGGUUUGGUUGUACGGAAUUAAUGAAGCUUGACGGCUACGAUUAAUUGAAAAUUGAGCAACAAAUUUGGUCCUUCGAAUUUAAUUCGACGGUGAUGGAUGAUGUUGAUCGAUCGGCGGUGAGGUGAUGAUGGAUUGAUGAUGAAGAUCAAUCGUUGAUGAUGGAAGAUGCACGGUGAUGAUGCUGAUGAUGAUGGACGAUGAACAGUGGUGAUGAGGGAAAAGAUGGAGCAGCGAAGAAGAAGAAGGGGCCGCGAAGGUGGAGAGUAAGUGCGAAGGAGGGAGCAAAAACCCAAUUAAUUUAGGGUAAAAUGGACGAAGAGGAAGGGGACGAAAAAAAAGGCAAAAGAGGAGAGGAGGGUCUCAUUUGUUUUGGGGGAAAACAAAAGCUACGGGGUCUGCUACUACUGGGAUCCCCUUACAUUUUUAAUUUCCAUUUUCUUCAUUUUCUUUCCCCCUUUUAAUCUUUUCUCUUUUAUUCUUUUUCAUUUUUUCUUUAUUUUAUUUUAUUUUCUUUUAGGAAAUUUUGUGAAACACUACCUUAAUGUUUGUACGUUUUGUGAAUUACUACCUUAUAAAAACUUUUUUAUAUUUUCCUA